rnacentral:tRNA from 1 species
GGGCUGGUAGUUCAGGGGUAGUAAUGUUCGGUUCGCAUCCGAAAGGUCGCGGGUUCAAAUCCCGCCCAGUCCA